AAAGGCACCGAACCAGAAUCAAAGUGUAACCACAUGAAUCAUGCUAUUAAAGUUCACAAAAGUUCGCAAAAACAACCACGGAUAGGAGGCCUAAACCUCUUGUCAAACAAAUGCAUCAAACGGGUAUCAAAACUCAAAGUCACAGGGCAAGGAUCCACACAUCAAGACAUGACAUACAUACUAAAACAUGUGCAAAAGGAUUGGUUUCAACACUCAAAGGAAGUGGC
rnacentral:lncRNA from 1 species